UACGAAGGGGACUAGCGUUGUUCGGAAUUACUGGGCGUAAAGCGCGUGUAGGCGGAUGAGCAAGUCUGCUGUGAAAGCUCCUGGCUUAACCGGGAGUGGUCGGUGGAAACUGCUCGUCUGGAGGACGGUAGAGGUAGGUAGAAUUCCCGGUGUAGUGGUGAAAUGCGUAGAGAUCGGGAGGAAUACCUGUGGCGAAGGCGGCCUACUGGGCCGGACCUGACGCUGAGACGCGAAGGCGUGGGGAGCGAACGGG
rnacentral:rRNA from 1 species